rnacentral:lncRNA from 1 species
AUGGUCUAGAGAGAUGCUAAGAUGUCACCUCACCUGUCACCCUCAGUCCCUUGAGUGUCCCACAUAAGAAGGGUGUUCCCUUUGGUCCAUUUCUCUUUGGCCUCCUGGCUCCUCCUUAGUUUGGCUCAUCUACAUUCUACUGGCCUGUGGAAAAGUAGCUCCAUCAGUGUGUCAGGUGAGCCUCCCAAUGCACAGGCCUGUUCCUCCUCUAAUAAUCCUGUUGCUUUGAAAUCAUCUAAUCACAUCUAUAUUUUUCUUCAGGGACUGAUUUAAGAGUUCAGGAAGUUUAACAUUCUGUAAUAACCUAGUAAAGCUGUCCUGCAUUCAGAGUUGGUUCCCAAAUUGCUCUUAUUAGUAGCUCUCACUAUCUUUAGCUACCUUUCAGGAAUAUUUGAAGUUGGAGCUCUUGAAAUUUUACUCUUUUCCUCUGUUAGAGUACUGGGGAUCCCAAUAACACUUUGUGAUCUCAUAACAAGUGAAAUAGCCUUUUCUUUCCUUCCUUCCCCUCCAUCCCCACCAAGAAGAUCCCUCUUCUAGCAGCUUAAACAGUGUAUUUCCCCUAAGUCUAACUCCACCUUCUGUUCCCAUAAUUUAAAAACAAAUCUACUUUCUCUUUGGUUUGUACAGAAAAUGUUCUA